GACGAACGCUGGCGGCGUGCCUAAUACAUGCAAGUAGAACGCACAGUUUAUACCGUAGCUUGCUACACCAUAGACUGUGAGUUGCGAACGGGUGAGUAACGCGUAGGUAACCUGCCUGGUAGCGGGGGAUAACUAUUGGAAACGAUAGCUAAUACCGCAUAAUAUUAAUUAUUGCAUGAUAAUUGAUUGAAAGGUGCAAUUGCACCACUACCAGAUGGACCUGCGUUGUAUUAGCUAGUAGGUGAGGUAACGGCUCACCUAGGCGACGAUACAUAGCCGACCUGAGAGGGUGAUCGGCCACACUGGGACUGAGACACGGCCCAGACUCCUACGGGAGGCAGCAGUAGGGAAUCUUCGGCAAUGGACGAAAGUCUGACCGAGCAACGCCGCGUGAGUGAAGAAGGUUUUCGGAUCGUAAAGCUCUGUUGUAAGAGAAGAACGGGUGUGAGAGUGGAAAGUUCACACUG
rnacentral:rRNA from 1 species